UUCUCUCCCAAAUGGGGUUUUGGUCUCCUUCUCUGCUGCGUUUCUUCUGCUAAUUCUUAGGCCCAGAGGAAAGGUGGGCGCAAGUCGCUGAUUCCAUGGCGCUGGUGAUGUCUUGGUUAAUUUGUGUUGCUCCUGUUGGACCAUACUUUUUCUUGGUGCUUGAGGAUUAGGGUUCAAGGGAUGCCGACGUUGGCAUCUGCUACGUGACUCUUCUUUCGGCGUGUUACAUGUUAACAACAACAACAAGAGCGGUUUCUAGGCACUGAUUGCAGCGGAAUUUUGAAAUGGGAGUUGCAAAUAAAAUUUCUUGGUUUCUUAAGAUGAAUCCCAUCGGGAAGUGACACGCUCGAAGGCUGACAACCCUCUUUAUGGUACUUCACUCGUUGAAUACGCUCAUAUUGAGCAAUGGAUUGACUUCGCUCCAACAGAGAUUGCCCCAAGAGUUGGAUUUGGACCUUAUCUUGCUGGGUUGAGGAAGCUGCCAUAUCUUCUUUGAAGAGGGCCCUUGGUGCUUUGUACACUCAUCUUACGUCAAAUAUAUCUCGUCGGCCAUGCUGUUACUUUGGCCGAUAUUUUUAUGAUUUGUAACUUAUAUAUUGGAUUCAAUUGAAUCUUCAUUAAAAGUUUUACCUCUGAGUUUCCGAAAGAUACUUUUGGACCGUGGUUGAUCAACCAAAUUUCUGCAAGGUGUUAGGUGAGGUAAAGACCUGUUCCAUCACAAAAAAAAGCCUUCUCAACUGAAAGAGUCCCCAAAGCCUAAGGUGCAAGAACCCAUGGAAGAGGAAGAUGAGGUGCCCAAACCCAAGCCAAAAAUUCCUCUAGUCCUGCUUCCUCUCAGUAAGAUGAUAUUAGAUGAGUGGAAGAGGCUUUAUUCUAAUACGAAAAUGAACUUCCGUGAGGUUGCUAUCAAAGAUCUUUGAAUGAAGAGGACCUUGACAGGAAGUCGAAAUUUGACAGGAAGUUAAAUUAAUGCUACAACAGCCAGUUAUCUUUGUGAUGAUCAGAGGCCCCAUUACAGAGUUGGCCCUUUUGUAGGAACAUCACAUGAUAUUCUCACUUCAAGACUGAAGCAUGCUUUUUUUCGUUUAUUAAUCUAGAUUGUUUUAAUGUUGUCUCGCAUAGUGUAACGAUUUUGUUAUGUAUGACUUCAGUUUCUGGGAUAUGUACGACCGACCCCGAGGGGUACUCACUGUGGUUCUGUGACUAAAAAUACAUUCUUGACCCUGAACAAAGUGAGUGGUUUCCUCCAGCGCAUGGACUUUUUGGGUCGGAAAUGUGCAUUUGGAAAGAUGCUUGUCAAUGCUUGGGAGCCACCGUAGAAGGUAAAGGGGCUGUGGCUCUUCCGGGGCGAGGAGAUCCCACAAUUUGUGUUGGAUGAUUGCUAUGACAUGGAGCUAAGGUUAGAGAUUGCCGAUGAAGCACACGAGGAGCGAGUGAACGGAGGACCAGUAGUCAUUUGAAGGCGAGGCCCUGUCGAAUGCCGAGUAAAAAGUCCUCCAUCCAGUCUGGCCCAGCAUAAUAUUAGUAGUAGUUACUAUGACUUGUAUGGCAUUGCUGAGCACUGUCUUGAAUAUUUUUGAAAUGUGAUAUUUAUAUGUAAUUGUCUGAUGAUAACUACUUUUUUUUUUUUUUUAAUUUAUAUAUUUCUAUCUGAAAUUGGAGAC